rnacentral:rRNA from 1 species
UACGGGGGGUGCGAGCGUUGUCCGGAUUCACUGGGCGUAAAGGGCGCGUAGGCGGCCGGCUCAGUCGGGCCUGUAAGUGCGGGGCUCAACCCCGUGAUGGGCUCGGGACGGGCUGGCUGGGGCGCGGUCGAGGGAGACGGAAUGCCGGGUGUAGUGGUGAAAUGCGUAGAGAUCCGGCGGAACAUCGGUGGUGAAGGCGGUCUCCUGGACUGAGGGCCGACGCUGAGGCGCGAGAGCGUGGGGAGCGAACCGG